CCUACGGGUGGCAGCAGUGGGGAAUAUUGGACAAUGGGGGGAACCCUGAUCCAGCCAUGCCGCGUGUGUGAAGAAGGCCCUCGGGUUGUAAAGCACUUUCAGUGAGGAAGAAAGCCUGGUGGUUAAUACCGAUCAGGAAAGACAUCACUCACAGAAGAAGCACCGGCUAACUCCGUGCCAGCAGCCGCGGUAAUACGGAGGGUGCGAGCGUUAAUCGGAAUUACUGGGCGUAAAGCGCGCGUAGGUGGCUUGAUAAGCCGGUUGUGAAAGCCCCGGGCUCAACCUGGGAACGGCAUCCGGAACUGUCAAGCUAGAGUGCAGGAGAGGAAGGUAGAAUUCCCGGUGUAGCGGUGAAAUGCGUAGAGAUCGGGAGGAAUACCAGUGGCGAAGGCGGCCUUCUGGACUGACACUGACACUGAGGUGCGAAAGCGUGGGUAGCAAACAGGAUUAGAUACCCGUGUAGUC
rnacentral:rRNA from 1 species